CGUCUCUUGGUCACAGGUGGG
rnacentral:miRNA from 1 species